UAGUGUUGCUUUAUCAAAGCAGUGGCCUGAUAAGAGCCUGUUUAUUUGUUUACAUUCUGCGCUUGAGAGCUCGCCUUUAUAUUGAUGAAACCAAGGUAUUUUCACGAGGCUGGGGAAAAGUGCGGUGUAACCUCUAUUUCUGUUGGCUGCGAAGUUCCAGUAUUCUGUUUCCCAUUGGUUUUGGAUUAGUUUGCGGAUUGAGUUGAUAGCGUCGUUGACUGACCAUCUCAUUAUUAUAAAUGAUCCAUGAAAGGGGGCCACUUUUGCGGCGGCAUCUACCAAAGAGUUUUGGGGAAUGUCUUUAUGACCAGGUAUGUAGUGGAUCUCAACGGAGCGGAUUUGAUUAUUCUCUUUUAUUUUCAGUAGGAUGGUUUUGGCAAUGUAGCUGGGUUGAAUGGAUUUCUGAAGGGCCUGAAUGCCGCUGCGGCUGUCUGUAAGGAUGGCUAUAUUUGAAUAAUUGUGAGAUAUGGCAUGAUCUAAGGCUUUGUCUAUUGCAAUCAGUUCUGCAGUGAGCGACGAUGUAAUUUUGUUGGUAUAGAAACUGUCGAUGAACUUGGAGUUAUUGUGGAGGAAUGCAGCGCUGGAGCCUUCUAGUUUUUCUUGGAAUAGCUGAUGGAUUAUGUUCGGAUUCGCUUGAUGUUUGUUUGUUGCCGAUCCUUUAAAGAAGUUUGUGUCCGUGCAGAGCUUGAAGCAGUAGAUAUAUGUGUUGUCGUGGAGUUGGAUAUGGUUUAGAAUAUGUGAAAAUUCGUUGUAUAUUUUUGCAUAGUUUGUAUUGCAUGAUGAAUUGUGAAGUAAAGUUUUGCUAGCCGGUAAAUUGUACGCGAA